GUAUUUGUGACUUCAAUUUCUUCAGUAAAUGUAAAUGUCAUCCUUUUAUUUUUUUCUCCGUGAAAAACACAGCCUUUAGAAGCUGUUUUUGCUAUCAAGUGAAAUAGGGGAAUAGGAAGGGACUUUAGGCAGCAAUAAACACUACACGUCUGAGUGUAGUUCACAGAAGGCUGGAAGCUCGAGGCAGGAGGAGCAGAUUUGAGAAAAGGAGGAAGUAUAUUGGUGGAAUCAGAGGGGGAAAAUACUGAUGGUGAGAGACUGAGAAGGGAAACUGAGGCAGCCUUUAGAAAGAGAGCUCAGAGAAAGAGAACAAAAGAAGCGGCAAAAAGAGAAGGACCCACCCGUUGUUGCCCGAUUCCCCUCCAAUUUCUCUUCUCUCCUCACUCCACACAGUACCUGGUGCAUUUCACCCUUAUACGAGGUCUCACCAGCCAUGUACACAGCACGGCUUGAUGAGCUGUGCCAUGUGCGAACCCUGGAUCCGAGCUGGCGAACCGUGGGCCACCAAAGGAGAAUGUCUGUGCUUAACUGCUGU
rnacentral:lncRNA from 1 species